rnacentral:tmRNA from 1 species
GGGGGCGAUAUGGGUUCGACGAGGGCCGGAAGUCGAGGUGGCAUGCUGGGGUUCUGUUAUCCCGUUAAACAAACAGACUGCAAAUUAAACGCAGACAAUUUCGAAUAUAAACUAGCUGCUUAAUCCCAGCUAGCGUCUUACCGGCUUUCUCCCGCGGGGCCGGAUAAGAUGUCAUUCAGCGGGAUGGGCCGAUUCUCCUGCCGGAGGGGAUGAGGCCGAGAUCCAAGCCGGAUAGUUUUGCAGGACCCGGCCGCUGGGGGCCCGCAACGCGAAAUCAAAACAACGGCUAAGCAUGUAGUCAUACUUGGCGGAAAACCUUCGGACGGGGGUUCGAUUCCCCCCGCCUCCACCA